rnacentral:rRNA from 1 species
AGAGUUUGAUCAUGGCUCAGGACGAACGCUGGCGGCGUGCCUAACACAUGCAAGUCGCACGGGGUAGCAAUACCCAGUGGCGAACGGGUGCGUAACACGUGAGGAACAUACCUAUCGGCGGGGGAUAGCCGGCCCAACGGCCGGGUAAUACCGCGUACGCUCUCCGGGGGGCAUCUCCUGGGGAGGAAAGCAGCAAUGCACCGAUAGAGUGCCUCGCGGCCUAUCAGCUAGUUGGUGAGGUAAUGGCUCACCAAGGCGACGACGGGUAGCUGGUCUGAGAGGAUGAUCAGCCACAUUGGGACUGAGACACGGCCCAGACUCCUACGGGAGGCAGCAGUGGGGAAUCUUGCGCAAUGGGCGAAAGCCUGACGCAGCGACGCCGCGUGUGGGAUGAAGGCCUUCGGGUCGUAAACCACUGUCGCGAGGGACGAAUAAAUUGACGGUACCUCGAAAGGAAGCACCGGCUAACUCUGUGCCAGCAGCCGCGGUA